CAUAGGUUAAUGAGGCGAACCGGGGGAACUGAAACAUCUAAGUACCCCGAGGAAAAGAAAUCAACCGAGAUUCCCCCAGUAGCGGCGAGCGAACGGGGAGCAGCCCAGAGCCUGAAUCAGUAUGUGUGUUAGUGGAAGCGUCUGGAAAGGCGCGCGAUACAGGGUGACAGCCCCGUACACAAAAAUGCACAUGCUGUGAGCUCGAUGAGUAGGGCGGGACACGUGGUAUCCUGUCUGAAUAUGGGGGGACCAUCCUCCAAGGCUAAAUACUCCUGACUGACCGAUAGUGAACCAGUACCGUGAGGGAAAGGCGAAAAGAACCCCGGCGAGGGGAGUGAAAAAGAACCUGAAACCGUGUACGUACAAGCAGUGGGAGCACGCUUAGGCGUGUGACUGCGUACCUUUUGUAUAAUGGGUCAGCGACUUAUAUUCUGUAGCAAGGUUAACCGAAUAGGGGAGCCGAAGGGAAACCGAGUCUUAACUGGGCGUUAAGUUGCAGGGUAUAGACCCGAAACCCGGUGAUCUAGCCAUGGGCAGGUUGAAGGUUGGGUAACACUAACUGGAGGACCGAACCGACUAAUGUUGAAAAAUUAGCGGAUGACUUGUGGCUGGGGGUGAAAGGCCAAUCAAACCGGGAGAUAGCUGGUUCUCCCCGAAAGCUAUUUAGGUAGCGCCUCGUGAAUUCAUCUCCGGGGGUAGAGCACUGUUUCGGCAAGGGGGUCAUCCCGACUUACCAACCCGAUGCAAACUGCGAAUACCGGAGAAUGUUAUCACGGGAGACACACGGCGGGUGCUAACGUCCGUCGUGAAGAGGGAAACAACCCAGACCGCCAGCUAAGGUCCCAAAGUCAUGGUUAAGUGGGAAACGAUGUGGGAAGGCCCAGACAGCCAGGAUGUUGGCUUAGAAGCAGCCAUCAUUUAAAGAAAGCGUAAUAGCUCACUGGUCGAGUCGGCCUGCGCGGAAGAUGUAACGGGGCUAAACCAUGCACCGAAGCUGCGGCAGCGACGCUGAUGCGUUGUUGGGUAGGGGAGCGUUCUGUAAGCCUGCGAAGGUGUGCUGUGAGGCAUGCUGGAGGUAUCAGAAGUGCGAAUGCUGACAUAAGUAACGAUAAAGCGGGUGAAAAGCCCGCUCGCCGGAAGACCAAGGGUUCCUGUCCAACGUUAAUCGGGGCAGGGUGAGUCGACCCCUAAGGCGAGGCCGAAAGGCGUAGUCGAUGGGAAACAGGUUAAUAUUCCUGUACUUGGUGUUACUGCGAAGGGGGGACGGAGAAGGCUAUGUUGGCCGGGCGACGGUUGUCCCGGUUUAAGCGUGUAGGCUGGUUUUCCAGGCAAAUCCGGAAAAU
rnacentral:rRNA from 1 species